UCGAGGAUCUUCGGCAAUGGGCGCAAGCCUGACCGAGCGACGCCGCGUGUGCGAUGAAGGCCUUCGGGUUGUAAAGCACUUUCGGAGGGAAGGAAAGCCGCAAGGUCUGACUAACCCUAAGAAGAAGCACGGGCUAAGUUCGUGCCAGCAGCCGCGGUAAGACGAACCGUGCGAACGUUGUUCGGAAUCACUGGGCUUAAAGGGCGCGUAGGCGGGCUGCUAAGUCCGGGGUGAAAGCCCUCCGCUCAACGGGGGAAUGGCCUUGGAUACUGGCGGUCUUGAGGAAGACAGGGGCAGAUGGAACUCUCGGUGGAGCGGUGAAAUGCGUAGAUAUCGGGAGGAACGCCGGUGGCGAAAGCGAUCUGCUGGAUCUUUUCUGACGCUGAGGCGCGAAAGCCAGGGUAGCGAACGGGAUUAGAUACCCCCGUAGUCC
rnacentral:rRNA from 1 species